rnacentral:rRNA from 1 species
GAUGAACGCUAGCUACAGGCUUAACACAUGCAAGUCGAGGGGCAGCAUGGUCUUAGCUUGCUAAGGCCGAUGGCGACCGGCGCACGGGUGAGUAACACGUAUCCAACCUGCCGUCUACUCUUGGACAGCCUUCUGAAAGGAAGAUUAAUACAAGAUGGCAUCAUGAGUCCGCAUGUUCACAUGAUUAAAGGUAUUCCGGUAGACGAUGGGGAUGCGUUCCAUUAGAUAGUAGGCGGGGUAACGGCCCACCUAGUCUUCGAUGGAUAGGGGUUCUGAGAGGAAGGUCCCCUACAUUGGAACUGAGACACAGUCCAAAAUCCUACGGAAGGGAGCAGUGAGGAAUAUUGGGCAAUGGGCGAGAGCCUGAACCAGCCAAGUAGCGUGAAGGACGACUGCCCUCUGGGUUGUAAACUUCUUUUAUAAAGCAAUAAAGUCGGGUAUUGAUACCCGUUUGCAUGUACUUUAUGAAUAAGGAUCGGCUAACUCCGUG